AGUGAAAGCUGACGGCGUGGUUUAGAGUUGCAAGCCACACGGCAGACUUCGGACUGUAGUGGCGCACGGGUGAGUAACGCGUAACUGACCUACCCCAAAGUAGCGGAUAACGAUUCGAAAGAAUCGCCAAUACGUGAUGUGCUGUCAGAUUGUGUUCUGCCAGUAAAGAUUGAUUGCUUUGGGGGGUGGUUGCGUUCCAUCAGCUGGUUGGUGGGGUACAGGCCCACUACGGCGACGACGGAUAGCUGGCCUGGGAGGGUGGCCGGCCACAGGGGCUCGGAAACACGGGGCCCACUCCUACGGGAGGCAGCAGGUAGGAAUCUUCCACAAUGGGCGAGAGCCUGAUGGAGCGACGCCGCGUGAGGGAUGAAGGUCUUCGGAUCGUCAACCUCUGAAUCAGAGACGAAUGACACUUCGGUGGGAUGACGGUACCUGAGUAAGAGCACCGGCUAACUCCGUGCCAGCCGCCGCAGUAAGAC
rnacentral:rRNA from 1 species